rnacentral:rRNA from 1 species
CCUACGGGGGGCUGCAGUGGGGAAUAUUGGACAAUGGGGGGAACCCUGAUCCAGCCAUGCCGCGUGUGUGAAGAAGGCCCUCGGGUUGUAAAGCACUUUCAGUGAGGAAGAACGCCUGGUGGUUAAUACCCAUCAGGAAAGACAUCACUCACAGAAGAAGCACCGGCUAACUCCGUGCCAGCAGCCGCGGUAAUUCGGAGGGUGCGAGCGUUAAUCGGAAUUACUGGGCGUAAAGCGCGCGUAGGUGGCUUGAUAAGCCGGUUGUGAAAGCCCCGGGCUCAACCUGGGAACGGCAUCCGGAACUGUCAAGCUAGAGUGCAGGAGAGGAAGGUAGAAUUCCCGGUGUAGCGGUGAAAUGCGUAGAGAUCGGGAGGAAUACCAGUGGCGAAGGCGGCCUUCUGGACUGACACUGACACUGAGGUGCGAAAGCGUGGGUAGCAAACAGGAUUAGAUACCCAGUAGUC